rnacentral:rRNA from 1 species
GACGAACGCUGGCGGCGUGCCUAAUACAUGCAAGUAGAACGGACAGUUUAUACCGUAGCUUGCUACACCAUAGACUGUGAGUUGCGAAAGGGUGAGUAACGCGUAGGUAACCUGCCUGGUAGCGGGGGAUAACUAUUGGAAACGAUAGCUAAUACCGCAUAAUAUUGAUUAUUGCAUGAUAAUUGAUUGAAAGAUGCUAUUGCAUCACUACUAGAUGGACCUGCGUUGUAUUAGUUAGUAGGUGAGGUAAUGGCUCACCUAGGCGACGAUACAUAGCCGACAGGAGAGGGUGAGCGGCCGCACUGAGACGGAGACACGGCCCAGACGCCUACGGGAGGCAGCAGUAGGGAAUCGUCAGCAAGGGGCGAAAGUCUGACCGAGCAACGCCGCAUGAGUAAGGAACGACGUCGGGUCGGAGAGCACUGUUGUAAGGGAGGAACCGGUGUGAGAGUGGAAAGUUCACACUGUGACGGUAUCUGACCAGAAAGGGACGGCUAACUACGCG